rnacentral:rRNA from 1 species
AAAGUCGUAACAAGGUCUCCGUUGGUGAACCAGCGGAGGGAUCAUUACCGAGUUUACAACUCCCAAACCCCUGUGAACAUACCACUUGUUGCCUCGGCGGAUCAGCCCGCUCCCGGUAAAACGGGACGGCCCGCCAGAGGACCCCUAAACUCUGUUUCUAUAUGUAACUUCUGAGUAAAACCAUAAAUAAAUCAAAACUUUCAACAACGGAUCUCUUGGUUCUGGCAUCGAUGAAGAACGCAGCAAAAUGCGAUAAGUAAUGUGAAUUGCAGAAUUCAGUGAAUCAUCGAAUCUUUGAACGCACAUUGCGCCCGCCAGUAUUCUGGCGGGCAUGCCUGUUCGAGCGUCAUUUCAACCCUCAAGCACAGCUUGGUGUUGGGACUCGCGUUAAUUCGCGUUCCCCAAAUUGAUUGGCGGUCACGUCGAGCUUCCAUAGCGUAGUAGUAAAACCCUCGUUACUGGUAAUCGUCGCGGCCACGCCGUUAAACCCCAACUUCUGAAUGUUGACCUCGGAUCAGGUAGGAAUACCCGCUGAACUUAAGCAU